rnacentral:rRNA from 1 species
AGAGUUUGAUCAUGGCUCAGAAUCAACGCUGGCGGCGUGCCUAACACAUGCAAGUCGAGCGAGAAAGGGGGGGCAACUCCCUGAGUAAAGCGGCGCACGGGUGAGUAACACGUGGGUAAUCUGCCCUGGAGUGGGGAAUAACACCGGGAAACCGGUGCUAAUACCGCAUACGAUAGUGAGGUCUGCGGACUUUGCUAUGAAAGGAGCAAUUCGCUCUAGGAGGAGCCCGCGGCUGAUUAGCUAGUUGGUGAGGUAACGGCUCACCAAGGCUACGAUCAGUAUCCGGUCUGAGAGGACGGUCGGACACACUGGAACUGAGACACGGUCCAGACUCCUACGGGAGGCAGCAGUGGGGAAUUUUUGGCAAUGGGGGCAACCCUGACCAAGCAACGCCGCGUGGGUGAUGAAGUCUCUUGGGACGUAAAACCCUUUCGACGGGGAAGAAAACCGCAAGGUUUGACGGUACCCGUAGAAGAAGCCCCGGCUAACUCCGUGCCAGCAGCCGCGGUA